AGCAAAAGAAGUCUACACUCACUGGAUUCUAGAUCUAUUCUUGUCAAUGCAGAGUCUUUAUUGGUAAACAAAUACAUUCUUUAUCUGUUCUUGUACGUCUAAUGUGAGAGAAAUUACUUCAAAUAGAAUCAGUGUCUAGUCUAUUACUGCUUUUUAACGGGUUCUGUUGGCAACCCAUUAGUAGAUUUCAUUCCUAUAAAUGAAUAAAUAUAUUCUAAUAAUCAGAAUGAACUGGGCAGAACAGCCUAAUGUUUUCUUUAAUAUUUAUAGAAAAAGGUGCAUUCAUAUAAAAGUCAAUGAAAUGA